rnacentral:rRNA from 1 species
CAGCCGCCGCGGUAAAACGGAGGGAGCUAGCGUUGUUCGGAAUUACUGGGCGUAAAGCGUGCGCAGGCGGUUUGUUAAGACAGAUGUGAAAUCCCCGGGCUCAACCUGGGAACUGCAUUUGUGACUGGCAAGCUAGAGUCUGGCAGAGGGGGGUGUAAUUCCGCGUGUAGCAGUGAAAUGCGUAGAUAUGCGGAGGAACACCGAUGGCGAAGGCAGCCCCCUGGGCCAACACUGACGCUCAUGCACGAAAGCGUGGGGAGCAAACAGGAUUAGAUACCCCAGUAGUCCCUGUCUCUUAUAC